CCUCUCACCCCAGUUCCUGGUCCUUCAUCAGACAUUUUUACGACCCCCAAAUUGACUGGAAGUCGAAAUGCCGUCGUGAUAAGGGAGAGAAAACGAGACGUGGAGGCUGCUGGUGCUUGGAAGGAAGCCAUGGAUUUCCAAGCUGCUAUCGAAGCUGAUGUCAGUGAUGAUGAAGAUGGUGGUCAGGAAUCUGUGCCUUGUCAGACCAAAAGUCAAUUCACCCAAGUGAAUAGGCGAAUUCGGCGACCAAAGCAUCGUUCGAUGAGGGUGC